rnacentral:rRNA from 1 species
GAUGAACGCUGGCGGCGUGCCUAAUACAUGCAAGUCGAGCGAACAGAUGAGGAGCUUGCUCCUCUGACGUUAGCGGCGGACGGGUGAGUAACACGUGGAUAACCUACCUAUAAGACUGGGAUAACUUCGGGAAACCGGAGCUAAUACCGGAUAAUAUAUUGAACCGCAUGGUUCAAUAGUGAAAGACGGUUUUGCUGUCACUUAUAGAUGGAUCCGCGCCGCAUUAGCUAGUUGGUAAGGUAACGGCUUACCAAGGCGACGAUGCGUGGCCGACCUGAGAGGGUGAUCGGCCACACUGGAACUGAGACACGGUCCAGACUCCUACGGGAGGCAGCAGUAGGGAAUCUUCCGCAAUGGGCGAAAGCCUGACGGAGCAACGCCGCGUGAGUGAUGAAGGUCUUCGGAUCGUAAAACUCUGUUAUUAGGGAAGAACAAAUGUGUAAGUAACUAUGCACGUCUUGACGGUACCUAAUCAGAAAGCCACGGCUAACUACGUG